GGGAACCAUAGCCCCCUAAAGGCUAAGUGACAUGACUCAUCCUUAAAUCAGUCUAGAAACAUGAAGCAUGCAGUAGGCUGCCUGUUCUUCUCCUCUCUCUGUUCUCUAUCCUCUUGGGAUAUCCAUGGCUUGGUGGUGACCCAGUCUCCUCAUGAAGUGACAGUCAUUGAAGGAAACACUGUUCACAUCCACUGCUGCUGGAAUCUGGACUCAGAGAGAACAACAGUUGUCUGGAAAAAGAACAAAACUACUAUUGAUUCUACAUCUUCCUCUAUAAAUGAAUCAAUGCAAUGUCAAGAACAAGCUCAGCACCAUGCAGCUUGUAAAUGCUCAAAUCUGACCCUCUCAAACAUCACUGUAAAUGACUCUGGUUUAUACAUCUGUCAAGUAAACAUAGAUAUACCAAAGCUUCUUCAAUCAGGAGGGAAUGGAACCAACAUAACAGUUACAACCAUCAAACAAGUUAACAUGACAAACGGAAAAGAAGAAGAAGAAAUCAACCAAUCACAUCUCCUGUUUACCAUCAUUUCUCUGGCUGUCCUGGCUGUCCUCUUCUUGGCUCUAUUCAGCUUUUUGAUUAGAAAACACGUCUUGGAUUCAGAGAAUACAGCCAGGGUGAUAUACGAGGCCCCGCACCCUGGGUCAGAGGAGUCUGAUGGCCAGAGCACCAAUUCCUCCAGGGGAUCUACCCAGUGGUGUCAAGUCCAGGUGUACGAAUCUUUCGAUUACUUUGCUGUCGAAGACAACAAAGGAAAAGGAUGAAAGGAUGUCUCAGCUCAUUUCAACCUUUUUUUAAUCUCCACUGUACUGUCUGCAUACUGUAUUUCUAUUAUUCAUUUCAUUUUAUUGCUGUAAUUAUUUGCUUAUUUUUUAUUGGCCUAAAAAUACAAACGUCUGAUGAAGACAACUUUGUUUCUUUCACAAAAGUUUUUUGUGUGAGAGGAUAUGAACCUGUGCCUAAACCGGAAUUGAGCAAUAGUUCACCAUUACACACUUGUGAUGCUCUAGAUAAGCUUCUCUGAGUUUGUGCCUUGCAUGUG